ACUCUGAAGGUUCGAAACAACAAACUACACUGCAUUUGAUGCGAAGUUGCAACCAACGAUCUCCGAGAAGCUCCACCAUACGAUGUUCCUCACUCUUGAAAUAAAGUAGAGACGAAAAGGAUCGAAAUAACGAUGAAAAUACGAAGAGAAAUUAGCUA